rnacentral:rRNA from 1 species
GACGAACGCUGGCGGCGUGCUUAACACAUGCAAGUCGACCGGAAAGUGCGUGUUUUAAUUGAGAUUUGGGGGGCCGACGGGUGAGUAACGCGUAGAGAACCUUCCUCACAGCUCGGGACAACAUUUGGAAACCAAUGGUAAUACCUGCUAUUAUGCUUAUGAUGCAUCUUGGGGUUAUGAAAGCUAUAUGCGCUGUGGGAGAGCUUGGCGUUCCAUUAGCUGGUUGUGGAGGUGACGGCUCACCAGGGCGAUGCUGGGUAGCCGGCCUGGAAGGGUGAACGGCCACAAGGGGACUGAGACACGGCCCUUACCCCUACGGGAGGCAGCAGUGGGGAAGAUGGGACAAUGGACCAAGAGUCUGAUACAGAAGUUGUGUGUGGACGAUGACGUUUUUCGGAAUGUAAAGUGCUUUCAGUUGGGAAGAAAAAAAUGACGGUACUGGCAGAAGAAGCGACGGCUAAAUACGUG